CCUACGGGGGGCAGCUGUGGGGAAUAUUGGACAAUGGGGGCAACCCUGAUCCAGCCAUGCCGCGUGUGUGAAGAAGGCCCUCGGGUUGUAAAGCACUUUCAGUGAGGAAGAACGCCUGGUGGUUAAUACCCAUCAGGAAAGACAUCACUCACAGAAGAAGCACCGGCUAACUCCGUGCCAGCAGCCGCGGUAAUACGGAGGGUGCGAGCGUUAAUCGGAAUUACUGGGCGUAAAGCGCGCGUAGGUGGCAUGAUAAGCCGGUUGUGAAAGCCCCGGGCUCAACCUGGGAACGGCAUCCGGAACUGUCAAGCUAGAGUGCAGGAGAGGAAGGUAGAAUUCCCGGUGUAGCGGUGAAAUGCGUAGAGAUCGGGAGGAAUACCAGUGGCGAAGGCGGCCUUCUGGACUGACACUGACACUGAGGUGCGAAAGCGUGGGUAGCAAACAGGAUUAGAUACCCUGGUAGUC
rnacentral:rRNA from 1 species